GACGAACGCUGGCGGCGUGCUUAACACAUGCAAGUCGAACGGAAAGGCCCUGCUUUUGUGGGGUGCUCGAGUGGCGAAAGGGUGAGUAACACGUGAGUAACCUGCCCUUGACUUUGGGAUAACUUCAGGAAACUGGGGCUAAUACCGGAUAGGAGCUCCUGCUGCAUGGUGGGGGUUGGAAAGUUUCGGCGGUUGGGGAUGGACUUGCGGCUUAUCAGCUUGUUGGUGGGGUAGUGGCUUACCAAGGCUUUGACGGGUAGCCGGCCUGAGAGGGUGACCGGCCACAUUGGGACUGAGAUACGGCCCAGACUCCUACGGGAGGCAGCAGUGGGGAAUAUUGCACAAUGGGCGGAAGCCUGAUGCAGCAACGCCGCGUGCGGGAUGACGGCCUUCGGGUUGUAAACCGCUUGCGCCUGUGACGAAGCGUGAGUGACGGUAAUGGGUAAAGAAGCACCGGCUAACUACGUG
rnacentral:rRNA from 1 species